GCCAGACGGACGCCGAAUCCUGCCGCGUCUGGCAUCACCCAUCGACGGACGCAUCCGUACGGCAGGAGCGGGGGACCCAGGUAAGCCGCCGGACCGGCCGGCACACGCCGUGCCGGAACGGCUAGGGGUGAAGCCGUGCCUCCUCACGGGGGCGCGGCCGGGCACCUCCCCGCCCGAACCCGACAGCUCACCUCGCAGGCGACGGAGAGGAACUUC
rfam:Streptomyces bungoensis strain DSM 41781 genomic scaffold PRJNA299233_s022, whole genome shotgun sequence.